UAAAAAUAAAUUUUUUUUAAAAAUAAAAAAAAGGGAAUAAAAGUAUUUUAAAUUAUGUUUAUAAAAUUAUUUACUUAAAUUAAUUAUUUAUUUAAAUAUUAUUUUUAAUAAAAAUUUAAUUAAUUUUAGUUAAUAAAAAUAAAAUAAUUUAUUUUAAUAUUUAAAAAUAAAUUUUUUUUAAAAAUAAAAAAAAGGGAAUAAAAGUAUUUUAAAUUAUGUUUAUAAAAUUAUUUACUUAAAUUAAUUAUUUAUUUAAAUAUUAUUUUUAAUAAAAAUUUAAUUAAUUUUAGUUAAUAAAAAUGUUUAUUUUUAUAUUAUAUAGAUUAUUGUUUAUUAAAUUUUUAUAAAUAAUUUUAUUUAUAUUAAAAAAUUUAGUUAAAUUAAAUUUUACAUAUAAAUAUUUUUAAGUAAAAAUUUAAUUUUUUAAAUAAAUAUUAUUUUUUAUUAUAAUUUAAUUUUAUGAGUAGUAAUUAAUAUUAUUAAUUUAAUUAAUGUUAAAUUGUAGUUAUUAUUUAAAAUUAAUGAUUAAAUUUGUGCCAGCAGUCGCGGUUAUACAAAUAUUAAAAUUAAAUUUUUUUAAUUAAAGUUAAAAUAAAAAUUUUUAAAAAUUAAAAAUAAAUUUUUAAGUGAAAUUUAAAUUUUAUUAAAAUUUUUUAAAUUAAAAAUUAAAAUUUUGAAGCUUAAAAAAUUUAAAUUUAAAACUAGGAUUAGAUACCCUAUUAUUUAAAUAAUUAAAAAAAAAUUUAGGUAGUAUUAAUUAAUUUUUUAAAACUUAAAAAAUUUGGCGGUAUUUUAUUCUGUUUAGAGGAAUUUGUUCUGUAAUCGAUAAUCCACGAAUAUUUUACUUUAUUUUGUUAUUUCAGUUUGUAUAUCGUUGUCAUAAGAAUAUUUUAAUAGAAUAAAAAAAUUUCAUGAAUUUUAAUAAAAAAAAAUGUCAAAUCAAGGUAUAGUUAAUGUUAAAGUAGAAAUGAGUUACAAUAAUUAUUAUUUAUAAUGAAUAAUUUAUUUAAAUAUAAAAUUUGAAGGUGGAUUUAAAAGUAAAUUAAUUAAUAAAAAUUAAUUGAUUAUAGUUUUAAAAUAUGCACAUAUCGCCCGUCACUCUCGUUAUUUAAAUUUUUAAAUGAGAUAAGUCGUAACAUAGUAGAUAUACUGGAAAGUGUAUCUAGAAAUACAAUUUAAAGCUUAAAAAGUAAAGCAUUUUAUUUACAUUAAAAAGAAAUACGUGCAAAUCGUUUUAAAUUGAGAAAUAAUAAAAUUAAUAAAAAUGUUUAAUUUUUGUAAUUUUAUUUAAUAAAAAUAUUUUUUUUUUGUUUAUGUAAUUAAAAUUGAAAAAAUAAUUAUUUAUUUAUAGUUUAUAGUAUUGAAAAAGAAAUUUGAAAUAAAUUGAAAAAUUAUUUUUUAAAAAGAAAAAUUUAUUUUUUGUUCCUUGGGUAUCAGGAUUAAUUAAAUUUUAAAUUUUUAAUUAAAAAUAAUUUAUAAUUUAAAAGAUUUAUAAAAUUUUAAUUUUUAUUAUGUAAAAAAUAUUAAUUAAAAUUUUAUUGAAAUGAAAUGUUAAUCGUUUUUAAAGUUAUAUAAUUAUUAAAGAAAUAAAUUUAAUUUAAAAAUAAGUUUUUAUUAUAAAUAUAAAUUUAAAAUGUUUAUAAUUAAUUUAUUUUAAUAUUUUAAGGGUUGAGCUUUAAAAUAUAAUUUUAUAAAUAAAAAUUAAAUAAUUUAAUAAAAAAUAAUCUUAAAAAUAGAUAUUUAUAAUUAAUUUGUUUUAAUUAAUUUUAAAUUAUAUUAAUUUAUUAUUUAAUAUUUUUUUUAUUUUAAGUAUUUAUUUAAUUAAUUAUUUUAAUAAUAAAAAUAAUUUAAUAAUAAUUAAAUUAGUAAUUUUUUUUUAUUAUUAUAUAAUAUAUAAUAAAAUAUUUUAAUUUUAUAAAUUAGGCAAUAUUAUUUUUAAUUGUUUAACAAAAACAUUGUUUUUUAAAAAUUUUAAAAAAUAAGACCUGCACACUGAAAAUUUUUAAAGAGCCGCGGUAAUUUAACCGUGCAAAGGUAGCAUAAUCAUUAGUUUUUUAAUUGAAGACUGGAAUGAAAGGUUUAAUAAAAAAUAAUCU
rnacentral:rRNA from 1 species